AUUGAACGCUGGCGGCAUGCCUUACACAUGCAAGUCGAACGGUAACAGAUCUUCGGAUGCUGACGAGUGGCGAACGGGUGAGUAAUACAUCGGAACGUGCCUAGUAGUGGGGGAUAACUACUCGAAAGAGUGGCUAAUACCGCAUGAGAUCUACGGAUGAAAGCAGGGGAUCGCAAGACCUUGUGCUACUAGAGCGGCCGAUGGCGGAUUAGGUAGUUGGUGGGAUAAAAGCUUACCAAGCCGACGAUCUGUAGCUGGUGUGAGAGGACGAUCCGCCACACUGGGACUGGAACACGGAACAGACUCCUACAGGAGGCAGCAGUGGGGAAUUUUGGACAAUUGGCGCAAGCCUGACCCAGAAAUACCGCGUGCAGGAUGAAGGCCUUCGGUUGGUAAACUGCUUUUGUACGGAGCAAAAAGCCCUGGGUUAAUACCCUGGGGUCAUGACGGUACCGUAAGAAUAAGCACCGGCUAACUACGUGCCAGCCGCCGCCGUAAGAC
rnacentral:rRNA from 1 species